ACGAACGCUGGCGACGCGCCUAACACAUGCAAGUCGAACGGAGCUUAGAGAGCUUGCUUUUUAAGCUUAGUGGCGAACGGGUGAGUAACGCGUGAGUAACCUGCCCUAGAGUGGGGGACAACAGUUGGAAACGACUGCUAAUACCGCAUAAGCCCACGGUACCGCAUGGUACUGAGGGAAAAGGAUUUAUUCGCUUUAGGAUGGACUCGCGUCCAAUUAGCUAGUUGGUGAGGUAACGGCCCACCAAGGCGACGAUUGGUAGCCGGACUGAGAGGUUGAACGGCCACAUUGGGACUGAGACACGGCCCAGACUCCUACGGGAGGCAGCAGUGGGGGAUAUUGCACAAUGGGGGAAACCCUGAUGCAGCGACGCCGCGUGGAGGAAGAAGGUUUUCGGAUUGUAAACUCCUGUCGUUAGGGACGAUAAUGACGGUACCUAACAAGAAAGCACCGGCUAACUACGUGCCAGCAGCCGCGGUAAAACGUAGGGUGCAAGCGUUGUCCGGAAUUACUGGGUGUAAAGGGAGCGCAGGCGGGAAGACAAGUUGGAAGUGAAAACCAUGGGCUCAACCCAUGAAUUGCUUUCAAAACUGUUUUUCUUGAGUAGUGCAGAGGUAGAUGGAAUUCCCGGUGUAGCGGUGGAAUGCGUAGAUAUCGGGAGGAACACCAGUGGCGAAGGCGGUCUACUGGGCACCAACUGACGCUGAGGCUCGAAAGCAUGGGUAGCAAACAGGAUUAGAUACCCUGGUAGUCCAUGCCGUAAACGAUGAUUACUAGGUGUUGGGGGAUUGACCCCCUCAGUGCCGCAGUUAACACAAUAAGUAAUCCACCUGGGGAGUACGACCGCAAGGUUGAAACUCAAAGGAAUUGACGGGGGCCCGCACAAGCAGUGGAGUAUGUGGUUUAAUUCGAAGCAACGCGAAGAACCUUACCAGGUCUUGACAUCCGAUGCAUAGCACAGAGAUGUGUGAAAUCCUUCGGGACAUCGAGACAGGUGGUGCAUGGUUGUCGUCAGCUCGUGUCGUGAGAUGUUGGGUUAAGUCCCGCAACGAGCGCAACCCUUAUUGCCAGUUACUACGUUAAGAGGACUCUGGCGAGACUGCCGUUGACAAAACGGAGGAAGGUGGGGAUGACGUCAAAUCAUCAUGCCCUUUAUGACCUGGGCUACACACGUACUACAAUGGCUAUAACAAAGAGAAGCGAGACAGUGAUGUGGAGCAAAACUCAAAAAAAUAGUCUCAGUUCGGAUUGAAGGCUGAAACUCGCCUUCAUGAAGCCGGAAUUGCUAGUAAUGGCAGGUCAGCAUACUGCCGUGAAUACGUUCCCGGGCCUUGUACACACCGCCCGUCACACCAUGAGAGUUGGGGAUACCCGAAGCCUGUGAGCCAACAGUUAAAUGGGGCAGCAGUCGAAGGUAGAAUCAAUGAUUGGGGUG
rnacentral:rRNA from 1 species